CUCUACUUUGUUUAAGUCUCAAGCAAACCAGCCUUUGGACAGAAACCAUACCCUCGGUCCUUCUGGCUCUCAGGUCUUCAGAAGAGGAUUGCAAUUUAUACCCCUAGUCUCCUGGGUCUCCAGGCUAACAAGUCACCCUGCAGAUCUUGUGGCUGAUUGCUCAGACCAUCAGAUGACAACACAAUGUCCAAUUCUCCAUGCUGCCCUCAGGAGAAUCCAAGCAAUCUGUCUCCCUAAGCAGAGGCCACGAGAAUGUCCGUUUUGAACAACUCCCCAUACGGAUGGAACAAUUCUGAUCGUAUCCUGGGCCAGUUAUUCUGUUCCAGCUCAGAACUUCUUCAAGCUCCACCUUCAGCGACCUGACUUGCUUCGUUUCUCCCGUCUGUCACCUCUUCCUGAAAUACACGUGUGUGGUUUCUGUUUGA